UGGAGAUUUGAUCCUGGCUCAGAUUGAACGCUGGCGGCGUGCCUAACACAUGCAAGUCGUGCGUGAAAGGGCUUCGGCCUGAGUAAAGCGGCGCACGGGUGAGUAACGCGUGGAUGAUCUGCCCAUGAGUUGGGAAUAACGGCUGGAAACGGUCGCUAAUACCGAAUACGCUCCGAUUUCACAGUUCGGGGGAAAGGUGGCCUCUGCUUGCAAGCUACCGCUCAUGGAUGAGUCCGCGUCCCAUUAGCUAGUUGGCGGGGUAAUGGCCCACCAAGGCGACGAUGGGUAGCCGACCUGAGAGGGUGAUCGGCCACACUGGGACUGGAACACGGCCCAGACUCCUACGGGAGGCAGCAGUGGGGAAUAUUGCGCAAUGGGCGAAAGCCUGACGCAGCGACGCCGCGUGAGGGAUGAAGGCCUUCGGGUCGUAAACCUCUGUCAGGAGGGAAGAACCGCCAUGGUGCUAAUCAGCCAUGGUCUGACGGUACCUCCAAAGGAAGCACCGGUUAACUCCGUGCCAGCAGCCGCGGUA
rnacentral:rRNA from 2 species